GGAAGCGUGCCUUUCGGUUCGGAAUAAUUCAGGGAAACUUGUUCUAAUACCGAAUGUGCCCUUCGGGGGAAAGAUUUAUCGCCAUUAGAGCGGCCCGCGUCUGAUUAGCUAGUUGGUGAGGUAAAGGCUCACCAAGGCGACGAUCAGUAGCUGGUCUGAGAGGAUGAUCAGCCAGCACAUUGGGACUGAGACACGGCCCAAACUCCUACGGGAGGCAGCAGUGGGGAAUCUUGAACGCAAUGGGCCAAAACCCGACGCAGCCAUGCCGCGUGAAUGAUGAAGGUCUUAGGAUUGUAAAAUUCUUUCACCGGGGACGAUAAUGACGGUACCCGGAGAAGAAGCCCCGGCUAACUUCGUGCCAGCAGCCGCGGUAAUACGAAGGGGGCUAGCGUUGCUCGGAAUUACUGGGCGUAAAGGGAGCGUAGGCGGACAUUUAAGUCAGGGGUGAAAUCCCGGGGCUCAACCUCGGAAUUGCCUUUGAUACUGGGUGUCUUGAGUAUGAGAGAGGUAUGUGGAACUCCGAGUGUAGAGGUGAAAUUCGUAGAUAUUCGGAAGAACACCAGUGGCGAAGGCGACAUACUGGCUCAUUACCUGACGCUGAGGCUCGAAAGCGUGGGGAGCAAACAGGAUUAGAUACCCUGGUAGUCCACGCCGUAAACGAUGAUUGCUAGUUGUCGGGAUGCAU
rnacentral:rRNA from 1 species